rnacentral:rRNA from 1 species
AUUGAACGCUGGCGGCAGGCCUAACACAUGCAAGUCGAACGAGUGGCGGACGGGUGAGUAAUGUCCGGGAAACUGCCCGCUGGAGGGGGAUAAAUACUGUAAACGGUACUUCAUACCGCAUACCAUCAGAUGUGCCCAGGUGGGAUUAGCUAGUUGGUGGGGUAACGGCUCACCAGGGCGACGAUCCCUAGCUGGUCUGAGAGGAUGACCAGCCACACUGGAACUGAGACACGGUCCAGACUCCUACGGGAGGCAGCAGUGGGGAAUAUUGCACAAUGGGCGCAAGCCUGAUGCAGCCAUGCCGCGUGUGUGAAGAAGGCCUUCGGGUUGUAAAGUACUUUCAGCGGGGAGGCGUUACCCGCAGAAGAAGCACCGGCUAACUCCGUGCCAGCAGCCGCGGUAAUUC